rnacentral:rRNA from 1 species
AUUGAACGCUGGCGGCAUGCCUAACACAUGCAAGUCGAACGAGUGGCGGACGGGUGAGUAAUAUAUCGGAACGUGCCUGAUAGCGGGGGAUAACUACUGGAAACAGUGGCUAAUACCGCAUACAAUCGGAUCGGCCCAGAAAGGAUUAGCUAGUGGGUGGGGUAAAGGCUCACCAAGGCAACGAUACCUAGCUGGUCUGCGAGGAUGACCAGCCCCACUGGAACUGAGACACGGCCCAGACUCCUACGGGAGGCAGCAGUGGGGAAUGUUGGACAAUGGGAGAAAUCCUGAUGAAGCCAUCCCGCGUGUAUGAUGAAGGCCUUCGGGUUGUAAAGUACUUUUAGCAGAGAAGCGGUAUCCGCAGAAAAAGCACCGGCUAACUCCGUGCCAGCAGCCGCGGUAAUUC